rnacentral:misc_RNA from 1 species
UAGCAAAACACCCACAGAGAGACAUAUUUUCCCAUUAAGUUGCCAAUGUCUUUUGCUCUUUGCAAUUGCAGCAAUACAACAUAUUGCUGCAGCAUCCAUAUACAAGGAAAAUGUCCACAUUAAAGUAAUACAAAAUGAAACUCAUGGAAGAUACCUAGCAAACACUUCAACAAUUCAGUGUCACUCUCCAAUUGAGUAGAAUCUAGAAACACACAAUUAACUUAGGUCAAAAACACAUGAAUAACUAAAUACUAAACUCAAAACAAGGAUAAACCUACCCUCCACAUGGUUUCUAGUAAGAACCUCAAUUUCAUAGGAGACCUUAGAACUCUCAGCUUCUGUCGUAUUUAGUUCCUCUUUCAGAUGCUCUACAAAUGCAUCUACAUCAACCCGUGCUCUAAUCUCGGUGCUAUCAGAGAGAGAGAGAGUACUUUAGUGAGAGAGAGUACUUUAGUGAACACAGGCAUCUCAUACUGGUAAAUCUGCAUUUACACUUUUAACAAUAAAUAUGCCAAUUGAAAAUGACAAUCCCAUCUUGUUAUAGGUAGUCUUUCUUCGUAUACUUUCGGUUACAAUCAAUUCUCUAAGUUUCACAUUAUUGAAAUUGCAGUAUUUAAUAGAAUAAUUGAGCAUCAAUUAUACACUUAUUGUUAAAUAGUGCAUUAUGUCUAUUAUGUUCUUACAUUUCCUAGCAAGACAAAAAUACUUGAAAAAUCUAAUAUGCACCAAAUUUUGCCCCCUCUUCACUGCAUUUACAGGACAAAAGUUGUGAAAAACUGCUCUUCUUUCACCUCUGCUCAACACUAUUCAUAAUUAUUUGGUUGUCAAUAUCUCGUGCCUUCUUAUUCUAUAUCAAAUAUGCCCAACAUGCUAGAAUUUUCAGGAUUAAAAUGCAUAUAUGGAUAAUUGACGUAUGGUAGGAGAAUUACCACAUGCAAAUUAAAGUGCAAAACAUGAUCUUAUUUACUGCUUUACUUGAUCCAAAGGUUAAAAAUUAUGUCAAAUGCAGUGUGAUUCAUUGUCCUGCUUUCCUCAUGAACACACGUGAAUCAACCAAGUGCUUUGCAUGAGCUUGAGAAAUUUUACUAUCCAUCAAUUCAGAUAAUUUAUAAAGUCAGUUACCAA